UUUCCUGAGUUGUACUCUACAGCACGUGCAUCUCCUCUUGUUCUCACCUAUAAUGGAUAUUGUUUGGAAAAUGGAAAGUACACGGUAAAUCUCCACUUUGCGGAAAUAUCAUUCAAUGAUGAAGAACUAUAUAAUAGAGUUGGAAGACGUAUAUUUGAUAUUUAUGUUCAGGUAAUCUAUUACAUUUUGGGAAGAGAUCAUUGCUGCUAGUGUUUUUUAGAAACUUCUGAUUUGAUAACUCUGUUCCAGGGAAGGUUAGAGCAGAAAGAUUUUAAUAUCAAGGAAGAAGCAAAUGGAACUGGUAAAGUGAUCAUAAAACGAUUUGACGCCACAGUGGCAAACAAUACCCUAGAAAUCCGCUUGUAUUGGGCUGGGAAAGGGACUGUAUAUAUUCCAAACUCUGGGAAUUAUGGUCCCCUCAUAUCUGUUAUUUCUGUAUGUCGUGGUUUCAGAUCAAAUUGUGACGAUCUUAAGGGGCUAGAUCUACAAACAGGAACCUUCACUUUCAGACAGCUAAGAGCUGCUACUAACAAUUUUGAUGCUACAAACAAGAUUGGCGAAGGUGGUUUUGGAUCAGUAUACAAG